GAUGAACGCUAGCUACAGGCUUAACACAUGCAGGUCGAGGGGAAACGAUAGAGAAAGCUUGCUUUUUCUAGGCGUCGACCGGCGCACGGGUGAGUAACGCGUAUCCAACCUGCCCUAGAGUGGGGGACAACAGUUGGAAACGACUGCUAAUACCGCAUAAGCCCACGGUACCGCAUGGUACUGAGGGAAAAGGAUUUAUUCGCUUUAGGAUGGACUCGCGUCCAAUUAGCUAGUUGGUGAGGUAACGGCCCACCAAGGCGACGAUUGGUAGCCGGACUGAGAGGUUGAACGGCCACAUUGGGACUGAGACACGGUCCAAACUCCUACGGGAGGCAGCAGUGAGGAAUAUUGGUCAAUGGGCGAGAGCCUGAACCAGCCAAGUAGCGUGCAGGAUGACGGCCCUAUGGGUUGUAAACUGCUUUUAUAAGGGAAUAAAGUGGGAGUCGUGACUCUUUUUGCAUGUACCUUAUGAAUAAGGACCGGCUAAUUCCGUG
rnacentral:rRNA from 1 species